rnacentral:rRNA from 1 species
GACGAACGCUGGCGGCGUGCUUAACACAUGCAAGUCGAACGGAAAGGCCCUGCUUUUGUGGGGUGCUCGAGUGGCGAACGGGUGAGUAACACGUGAGUAACCUGCCCUUGACUUUGGGAUAACUUCAGGAAACUGGGGCUAAUACCGGAUAGGAGCUCCCGCUGCAUGGUGGGGGUUGGAAAGUUUCGGCGGUUGGGGAUGGACUCGCGGCUUAUCAGCUUGUUGGUGGGGUAGUGGCUUACCAAGGCUUUGACGGGUAGCCGGCCUGAGAGGGUGACCGGCCACAUUGGGACUGAGAUACGGCCCAGACUCCUACGGGAGGCAGCAGUGGGGAAUAUUGCACAAUGGGCGGAAGCCUGAUGCAGCAACGCCGCGUGCGGGAUGACGGCCUUCGGGUUGUAAACCGCUUUCGCCUGUGACGAAGCGUGAGUGACGGUAAUGGGUAAAGAAGCACCGGCUAACUACGUG